rnacentral:tRNA from 1 species
GGGGGUAUAGUUUAGUUGGUAGAGUGUUUGCCUUGCAUGCAAGGCCCUAGGUUCAAUCCCCAGCACCUUCU